GCAUCUAAUAAGUGCCGACUCUCUGCCAAAUACUAGUAGAUUCGUGCCAGUGUGGUCCUGAAGCAGAAACACACAGACAGACAACUCCAAAGCCUGGGAUGAAACCACCUCUGUGACUGCCCUUGAGCCUGCCGGCAAGUCCACCUUGCCCUCACCUUACUAUCAGUUUCACUUCCCAUCAUCCCACCGAUGAUGGAGAGACAGCGCUUGAAUCAGGGCAGACUUUGGACCUUGCAGGCCCCAGGAUAACCACUCUUUUGACGGCCCUGGGAUGGCGAGGAGAGGCCGAUGUCCAUGGGAGCCAGACUGCAUCAGUGCUGAUCAGAGGGACAGACCCACAGCCCUUCCCUCAAGCUCGGGGCAGGGCGGCCAACUCAAUGGGUCCUCAGAAGAGAGGGCCCGGCCUGGGGACCUCACAUGGAGCUCAGCCACGGACAGUUCCUCCGAAAUAUCCUUCCGCCCCAGUCUGGAAACCAGCCAACCUCUCCCAUGCUGCCUGGGCCUUGGCCAACCCCCUACCACCUGCCACCCCCGGCCAGACAUUGAAAACCACAAGAACACCACAGUGGCUGUGGGGAUCUGGAUUCAACUCAUAACUGGCUCUGAGGGGCCUGGGAGAGUAGAAUGAACUCCCGGGUGCUGGCCAGGGUCAGUAACCAGCUGGACACAUUCCCUGGCCAGGACUGAGGUGCCUAGAACCUGCUGCUGAGUCAUAGGAGUGAGAUAUUCCUGGGCCAAGCUACAAGGAAACUCCUUCUCCGGGGCUCCCUGUUUUGGCAGCCUGGUUAAUGAGUCACCUGCUGGUCACAUGCCUGGGGAACCCAGCUUGGGGGCUCCCUCACAUGCCAGGGUUACCUCAGUGCCAGAGAAGGUGGGCAGGGAGUUUUUUAUGUACUACUUGAAAAAUUGACUUCUUCAGAAAAGAACCAAGUAAAACGUAGCAAUCAUUUGUGUUUCCCACCCAGAUUUAACCACUUCUAACAAACUUACGCAGAGUCAGACACGAUUGAGUGACUGAACUGAACUGAACUGCACAGACUUAUUUACCUCUAGUCUUUUGAAAAAUGUAUUUACUUUCCAUCAAGCAUAAAAUGAGCAUAUUUAUUUCUUAUAAAGAAGAAAGAGCC
rnacentral:lncRNA from 1 species